rnacentral:rRNA from 1 species
GGAGGGGGGGAUCUUAGGACCUCCCGCUACAGGGGCGGCCGAUGGCAGAUUAGCUAGUUGGUGGGGUAAAGGCCUACCAAGGCGACGAUCUGUAGCUGGUCUGAGAGGACGACCAGCCACACUGGGACUGAGACACGGCCCAGACUCCUACGGGAGGCAGCAGUGGGGAAUUUUGGACAAUGGGGGAAACCCUGAUCCAGCAAUGCCGCGUGUGUGAAGAAGGCCUUCGGGUUGUAAAGCACUUUUGUCCGGAAAGAAAUCCUCUGCGCUAAUACCGAGGGGGGAUGACGGUACCGGAAGAAUAAGCACCGGCUAACUACGUGCCAGCAGCCGCGGUAAUACGUAGGGUGCAAGCGUUAAUCGGAAUUACUGGGCGUAAAGCGUGCGCAGGCGGUUCGCUAAGACAGAUGUGAAAUCCCCGGGCUUAACCUGGGAACUGCAUUUGUGACUGGCGGG